GAUGAACGCUGGCGGCGUGCCUAAUACAUGCAAGUCGAGCGAACGGACAAGAAGCUUGCUUCUCUGAUGUUAGCGGCGGACGGGUGAGUAACACGUGGAUAACCUACCUAUAAGACUGGGAUAACUUCGGGAAACCGGAGCUAAUACCGGAUAAUAUUUUGAACCGCAUGGUUCAAAAGUGAAAGACGGUCUUGCUGUCACUUAUAGAUGGAUCCGCGCUGCAUUAGCUAGUUGGUAAGGUAACGGCUUACCAAGGCAACGAUGCAUAGCCGACCUGAGAGGGUGAUCGGCCACACUGGAACUGAGACACGGUCCAGACUCCUACGGGAGGCAGCAGUAGGGAAUCUUCCGCAAUGGGCGAAAGCCUGACGGAGCAACGCCGCGUGAGUGAUGAAGGUCUUCGGAUCGUAAAACUCUGUUAUUAGGGAAGAACAUAUGUGUAAGUAACUGUGCACAUCUUGACGGUACCUAAGCAGAAAGCCACGGCUAACUACGU
rnacentral:rRNA from 1 species